ACGCGCCGCCGCCUGGAGCCCGGGAGCUGCGCACCGCGUGCGAGCGCGGCCGGGACCGACGGGUGACGCGGCGGGAGGAGACGCGGCGGGAGGAGGCGAAGCUGGCGACGCCAAAGGGAGCCCAGAGCUACGCCCAGGGGUGAGGCGAGGGCCGCCUGCGCCGCUGGAUGGAGAGGGUAGCAGAGCGCGCGGCAAGGAGGCCGGGUCCGGAGGUGCCCACGUGCACGAACCCGAGUGAAACUUUCCGAAAUUCACUAUCCGAGUCUAGGCGCCGACACAGAAGGACCAAACGACGGUGCCAUGGGAGGCUCUUCAACCUGUGAGCCAAACAUUUGACCUUGGACGACAGCAAAGUUUAGCCACAGAUUAUCCUUGUAGAGCUGCAAGACCUCAAGAAAGCCGGAUUGGGAAAGGAAUAUAAGAGGAAAGAGAGACUGCCUGAUGAUUUCUGUCGUCAAGCCCUAAAGCCUAACAGAUAACAGUGGCAAACGACACGCUAGUCAAGUGAAGCAGUGGGAGUGGAAAAGGAGCAAAGAAAUCUGUAACUGGUUGUGAUUCCAUGAACUUUUUGAAAUCCCCUUGUAUUGGCUUCCUUCCCUCUUCUGUCUUACUUCUCUACUCCCUACAAGUGUUUUCUGGGAUCACCUCCAAAUAAACUACUUGCAAUCUAAUCCUGUCUCAAGUCUGCUGCUGUGGGAACCCAAACUAAGACACCUGCAAAAAAUAUCCUUCCAAUUACUGAAAAAUAUGUUCACUUGCACCCAUAAAAGUGUUUGCUAAUACCGUAGACCCUUGGCUGUACAAUAUGGUAGCAGUAUCCACAUGAGCAUUUUGGGACUUGAAAUGUGGCUGGUCCCAGUUGAGAUGUUCUGGAAGUAUAAAACACACUGACUUCAAAGACAGUGUCAAGAAAAAUGUGUUUAACGUCUCAUGAAUGAUUUUUUUUACAUGGAUUACAUGUUAAAAUGAUAAUAUUUGGACACAUUAGUUAAAAACAGAAAGUCAGCCCCCCAACAUUUCCAGGUAGAGAACCUAUCAAAGGAGACUGAAGUGAGAAGAAAAAUAGAGUCACAGAAGUGAAGAAAAUGUUUCAAGAAAGGAAAGCUGGAGCCCAUGCUUCUGAGAGGCUGGGAAAUUGAGGACAGAAGAGCAGCCACUGUAUUUAACAACGUGGGGACCUUUGGUGAAUUGAUCAAAUCAGUAUUUUAAAGAGAGGGAGACAGACCCUAAUUAAAAUAUAUUGAGGAGAGAAUGGAAUGUGAAGAUGUAAAGACAGAGGUUAUACACAACUUCUCUGAGAAAUGUUGCUGUGAGGAGAGAGAGAAAAUAUGUAAUUGUAGGAGAGAAAUCCUUGGGAAAGCAGUCCUCCACACCGUGGACUAUUCCAUAGCCAAUUUUAACAACAUAGGUGAUAGGGUUUGGCUCUGUGUCUCCAACCAAAUCUCAUCUCGAAUUGUGAUUGCCACAAUCCCCACAUGUUGAGGGAGAAACCCGAUGGGAGGUGAUUGGAUCGUGGAGGCAGUUGUUACCAUGAUAGUGAGUAUUUUAUAAAGGGCUCUUCCCCCUUCACUCCUUGCUCCCCUCUCUCCUGCCACAAUGUGAAGAAGGUCCUUUUUUCCCCACCUUCUGCCAUGACUGUAAGUUUCCUGAGGCCCCCUCAGCCAUGUGGAACUGUGAGUCAAUUAAAGCAUUUUCCUUUAUAAAUUACCCAGUCUCGGGUAUUUCUUUACAGCAGUGUGAGAAUGAACUAAUAUGAUGGGUGUAGUAGAUGUUGUCAGUGCCUGACCAGAACCCCCAGGCCCUUACCAUUUCACACUAGCCUGACUUCCGGCAUCUCUGCCUCAAAUCCUUCUGCUCCACCAGAGUUGGUUUAGCCCAAGUACAAGGCAGGCCAGGGAGUUAGUGUCUCCCUCUGCCCUCCUCCAGCAACAAUCAACUAAUAGAUAGACAAGAGCUGGUGUAUAAAUAACGGCACUCACUCACUCACUCCUCAGGUAACUGAGGUUUGCGUUUAUACUGUCUCCUAAAUUUCCUCAGCAGGAUUACUCUCCAGUAGCCCAGACUGGGACAUGUCUGAUGAUAUACCCUUUAUUGGCUUCAUUCCCUCCCCUGUCUCACUUCCCCA
rnacentral:lncRNA from 1 species